UUAACCUACUUUGAGGCUAUGACUGGAUUGAUAGAAUGAACGUAAAAGAACUAAAGAAGUGCAGUGCAGAAGAUUGAAAAAGGGAACACAAAGGUUAAAACUAGUUUGUGGCUAAGACAGGAUUAUGAUGGAAAUAGAAGGAAAAGAAAUGAUGUGGACAGAAAAAAAUUCCAAAGAUGAGCUACCAGGUGCUUUUGAGUGGGUGUGCAAGCAGCAUGCCAGUAGAAGUAUGAGCAUUCUUUAAAGAAGAGAGAUGCAGAAUUCUACACAAUCUAGAGUAUUCUGUGCAAUUGCAAG
rnacentral:misc_RNA from 1 species